AACGUAGGAGACUAGCGUUAUCCGGAUUUACUGGGCGUAAAGCGUGUGCAGGCGGUUCUGCAAGUUGGAUGUGAAAUCUCCCGGCUCAACUGGGAGGGGUCGUUCAAUACUACCGAACUUGAGGGCAUCAGAGGAAGGUGGAAUUCCGGGUGUAGUGGUGAAAUGCGUAGAUAUCCGGAGGAACACCAGUGGCGAAGGCGGCCUUCUGGGAUGAUCCUGACGCUCAGACACGAAAGCUAGGGGAGCGAACGGG
rnacentral:rRNA from 1 species